UAGAGUAUCAUCUUGCACCAACUGAUUUCCCCCCUCUGCAACAGAAGGGACUGUUGAAGAUCUGGACAUGUAACUGUUAUUAAGAACAGGAGCAAAGGAGUUUGAAAAAAAAUUCAAUUUUUUAUGUUUGAAAAUUAUGAUGAGCCAUUUUUCAACUACAGAGUAAUGUAAGGACUACAGACAAAAACCCCAUGGAUUUUUGGAGGAGUUGCAUGAGUGCAGUGAACUGGAAGAAUUG